ncrna:Ligilactobacillus saerimneri 30a L31-Firmicutes ribosomal protein leader
CUCUGGCCCAGCAAAUGGACCAGGGCAAAGGAG